AUAGGGCUCAGCACCCUACACGCUGUGGGGCUAGGAAUGGACAAGGCACUUUUCAGGGUGUCAUGGGUUGUUCCCAGCCCAGGCAACAUGCGUCAGCUGGAGAGGGCUGGACAGAGAGGGGUUUGCUGGGAUGGAUGAAUAGAGGGGACAGGGGAUGGACAGAUAGAGGGGAGAGAGAGGGCAGGGGAUGGACAGAGG